rnacentral:rRNA from 1 species
UGGGGAAUAUUGCGCAAUGGGGGAAACCCUGACGCAGCAACGCCGCGUGAAGGAAGAAGGCCUUCGGGUUGUAAACUUUUGUCCUAUGGGAAGAAGAAAGUGACGGUACCAUAGGAGGAAGCCACGGCUAACUACGUGCCAGCAGCCGCGGUAAUACGUAGGUGGCGAGCGUUGUCCGGAUUUACUGGGUGUAAAGGGCGCGUAGGCGGGCGCUUAAGUCAGAUGUGAAAUACCGGAGCUCAACUCCGGGGCUGCAUUUGAAACUGGGCGUCUUGAGUGCGGGAGAGGUAAGUGGAAUUCCUAGUGUAGCGGUGAAAUGCGUAGAUAUUAGGAGGAACACCAGUGGCGAAGGCGACUUACUGGACCGUAACUGACGCUGAGGCGCGAAAGCGUGGGGAGCAAACAGG